rnacentral:rRNA from 1 species
AUUCCAGCUCCAAUAGCGUAUAUUAAAGUUGUUGCGGUAAAAAAGCUCGUAGUUGGAUUUCUGUUGAGGGCGACCGGUCCAUACAACGUAUGCGUAUCUGGCUCGGCCUCGGCAUCCUCUCGAUAGACGUUUCUGCGCUUGAUUGCGUGGAGCGGAUCUCGGGACUUUUACUUUGAGGAAAUUAGAGUGUUCACGGCAGGCUAUCGCCAGAAUACAUUAGCAUGGAAUAAUACUAUAGGAUCUUGAUUCUAUUUUGUUGGUUUCUAGAAUUGAGAUAAUGAUUAAUAGGGACAAUUGGGGGCAUUCGUAUCAACACGUCAGAGGUGGAAUUCUUGGAUUGUGUUGCGACGAACUACUGCGAAAGCAUUUGCCAAGGAUGCUUUCAUUA